rnacentral:rRNA from 1 species
UGAAUACGAGAUGCUACGGCGUCGAAGCAGUGUAGGUCAGACUUCCAAGAAAAGCUCGCAAUGUCAUAAAUAAAGAAUGCCUGUACCAUAACCGACACAGGUGGGUAGGUAGAGUAUACUAAGGGGCGCGAGAUAACUCUCUCUAAGGAACUCGGCAAAAUAACUCCGUAACUUCGGGAGAAGGAGUGCCUUCUUUAAGAAGGUUGCAAUAACAAGAUCCAAGCAACUGUUUAUCAAAAACACAGGUCUCCGCUAAGUCGUAAGACGAUGUAUGGGGGCUGACGCCUGCCCAGUGCCAGAAGGUUAAAGAAGUUGGUUAGCUUUUGCGAAGCUGAUGACUGAAGCCCUGGUGAACGGCGGCCGUAACAAUAACGGUCCUAAGGUAGCGAAAUUCCUUGUCGGGUAAGUUCCGACCCGCACGAAAGGCGUAAUGAUUUGGAUACUGUCUCGGAGAGGGACUCGGUGAAAUAGACUUGUCUGUGAAGAUGCGGACUACCUGCACCAGGACAGAAAGACCCUAUGAAGCUUUACUGUAACUUGAAAUUGAAAUUGGACUUUAUUUGCGCAGUAUAGGUGGAAGGCGUUGAAAGUAAUCUUGCGGGAUUAGUGGAGCCAUCAGUGAGAUACCACUCCUAUAAUGUUAGAUUUCUAACUUUGGAUCAUGAUCUGGUCAAAGAACAGUUUCAGGCGGGCAGUUUGACUGGGGCGGUCGCCUCCCAAAUGGUAACGGAGGCGUACAAAGGUUUCCUCUGAACGGGUAGAAAUCGUAUCUAGAGUGUAAAGGCAUAAGGAAGCUUGACUGUGAGACCUACAAGUCGAGCAGGGACGAAAGUCGGUCUUAGUGAUCUGACGGUGCUGAGUGGAAAGGCCGUCACUCAACGGAUAAAAGUUACUCUAAGGAUAACAGGCUGAUCUCCCCCAAGAGUUCACAUCGACGGGGAGGUUUGGCACCUCGAUGUCGGCUCAUCGCAUCCUGGGGCGGUAGUACGUCCCAAGGGUUGGGCUGUUCGCCCAUGAAAGCGGUACGCGAGCUGGGUUCAGAACGUCGUGAGACAGUUCGGUCCAUAUCCGGUGUAGGCGUUAGAAUAUUGAGAGGAGCCUUCUUUAGUACGAGAGGACCGAGAAGGACAUACCUCUGGUGUACCAGUUAUCGUGCCAACGGUAAACGCUGGGUAGCUAUGUAUGGAGAGGAUAACCGCUGAAAGCAUCUAAGUGGGAAGCCCACCUCAAGAUGAGUAUUCUCA